CGAUACUGGCGAAUCCUGGAGACGGGGAAUUGCUUUCCAUGUACGGAAAGCUAAUUUGGGAGACUCAGAGAGACGAGGACAGAGCAAAGUCUUACUUCGAUCAGGCCGUUUCUGCUUCUCCUGAUGACUGCGUUGUUUUGGGGUCGUAUGCUCAUUUCAUGUGGGAAGCAGAGGAAAACGACGACGACGAAGAAAUCAGCGAUGGGUCUGAAAUGAUGUCGUCCCCUGCCUUGGUCCCUGCGUUUUAGCGCCAAAAAAGUGCCGUUAAUACUUGCUUGUAUGUCGCAUGAUCGUUACUAACUUUAAGGACAAGAAUAAAUCAACAACAACAGGUUACUACGCUACUCAGACCGAAAUCUAAUCUCAUCCUUUGUAACAUAGGAGAUCAGACUCUGUAUUUUGUCCCUUUUUUUUUUUUUUUUUUUUCUCUCUUGUAAAUUUAUAAUGUAUUGUAGAUCAUGCAAUCUGAACGUUGUUUCCAUUUAA